rnacentral:rRNA from 1 species
UGAACGCUAGCGACAGGCUUAACACAUGCAAGUCGAGGGCAGCAUAAAAGUAGCAAUACGUUGGUGGCGACCGGCGCACGGGUGAGUAACGCGUAUGCAACCUACCUAUCAGAGGGGAAUAACCCGGCGAAAGUCGGAAACUAAUACCGCAUAAAACAGGGGCACCGCAUGGUGAUAUUUGUUAAAGAAAUUCGCUGAUAGAUGGGCAUGCGUUCCAUUAGGUAGUUGGUGAGGUAACGGCUCACCAAGCCGACGAUGGAUAGGGGAACUGAGAGGUUGGUCCCCCACACUGGUACUGAGACACGGACCAGACUCCUACGGGAGGCAGCAGUGAGGAAUAUUGGUCAAUGGGCGGGAGCCUGAACCAGCCAAGUCGCGUGAAGGAAGAAGGAUCUAUGGUUCGUAAACUUCUUUUGCAGGGGAAUAAAGUGCAGGACGUGUCCUGUUUUGUAUGUACCCUGAGAAUAAGGAUCGGCUAACUCCGUGCCAGCCGCCGC